UAAUUGGCUUGUGGCAGCCAAGCGUUCAUAGCGAUGUUGCUUUUUGACCCUUAGAUAUCGGUUCUUCCUAUCAUAAAGAAGCAGACUUCAGUGAGCGUUGGAUUGUUCACCAACUAAUAAGGAGCGCGAUCUGGGUUUAGACCGGCGUGAGACAGGUU
rnacentral:ncRNA from 1 species